AUACGGAGGGUGCAAGCGUUAUCCGGAUGCAUUGGGUUUAAAGGGUGCGCAGGCGGAUAAUUAAGUCAGUGGUGAAAUCCCGGGGCUCAACCCCGGAACUGCCAUUGAUACUGAUAAUCUGGAAUACGGUUGAAGUGGGCGGAAUGUAGCAUGUAGCGGUGAAAUGCAUAGAGAUGCUACAGAACACCGAUCGCGAAGGCAGCUCACUAAACCGAUAUUGACGCUCAGGCACGAAAGCGUGGGGAGCGAACAGGAUUAGAAACCCCAGUAGUCC
rnacentral:rRNA from 1 species